CCCUAUUAUUCUUGGUGUAAAAAUUGGCAUGGGUAGUAUUAGUUAUUUUCUUAAAACUCAAAGGAUUUGGCGGUAUCUUAAUCCUCUCAGAGGAGCUUGUCCUGUGAUCGAUGGUCCACGUUGUUGGUUUCUUUUUUUUGCUAAGCAGUUUGUAUAUCGCCGUUGUUCAGAAGAUUUUUAAAAAUGGGUAAUUUUCUAUAAUUUUUAUUAGAAUAUAAGGCAGGUCAAGGUGCAGUUUAUGGGAAAGAGUGAGAUGGGCUACAAUAUAAUUUAUAUAAAACGGACUAUUUGUUUGAAUGUUAAUAGGAAGGUGGAUUUGAAUGUAAUUUUUAUGGGUAGGAGUGAAUAUGGCUCUAGGAUAUGCACAUAUC
rnacentral:rRNA from 1 species